AUUGAACGCUGGCGGCAGGCUUAACACAUGCAAGUCGAACGAGUGGCGGACGGGUGAGUAAUGAUUGGGAAUCUGGCUUAUGGAGGGGGAUAACUACUGGAAACGGUAGCUAAUACCGCAUACCAUCAGAUGUGCCCAGAGGGGAUUGGCUAGUAGGUGGGGUAACGGCGGACCUAGGCGACGAUCCCUAGCUGGUCUGAGAGGAAGACCAGCCACACUUGAACUGAGCCACGGUCCAGACUCCUACGUGAGGCAGCAGUGGGGAAUAUUGCACAAUGGGCGCAAGCCUUAUGCAGCCAUGCCGCGUGUGUGAAGAAGGCCUUCGGGUUGUAAAGCACUUUCAGCGGGGAGGCGUUACCCGCAGAAGAAGCACCGGCUAACUCCGUGCCAGCAGCCGCGGUAAUUC
rnacentral:rRNA from 1 species